UAGCUUAGUUGGUAAAGAAUCUGCCUGCAAUGCAGGAGACCCAGGUUCAAUCCCUGG
rfam:Ovis aries breed Texel chromosome 5, whole genome shotgun sequence.